rnacentral:rRNA from 1 species
GACAGAGGAGCCAAGCGUUGUCCGGAGUUACUGGGCGUAAAGCGCACGCAGGUGGUCGCGCAAGUGCCAUGUGAAAGCCGGUGGCUUAACUGCCGGAGGCCAUGGCAGACGGCGCAACUGGAGCCCGUGAGAGGUCCGUGGAAUUGCCGAUGUAGCAGUGAAAUGCGUAGAUAUUGGCAGGAACACCAAAGGGGAAGCCAGCGGACUGGCACGGCGCUGACACUGAGGAGCGACAGCGUGGGGAGCGAACCGG